rnacentral:rRNA from 1 species
AUUGAACGCUGGCGGCAUGCCUUACACAUGCAAGUCGAACGGCAGCACGGGUGCUUGCACCUGGUGGCGAGUGGCGAACGGGUGAGUAAUACAUCGGAACAUGUCCUGUAGUGGGGGAUAGCCCGGCGAAAGCCGGAUUAAUACCGCAUACGAUCUACGGAUGAAAGCGGGGGACCUUCGGGCCUCGCGCUAUAGGGUUGGCCGAUGGCUGAUUAGCUAGUUGGUGGGGUAAAGGCCUACCAAGGCGACGAUCAGUAGCUGGUCUGAGAGGACGACCAGCCACACUGGGACUGAGACACGGCCCAGACUCCUACGGGAGGCAGCAGUGGGGAAUUUUGGACAAUGGGCGAAAGCCUGAUCCAGCAAUGCCGCGUGCGUGAAGAAGGCCUUCGGGUUGUAAAGCACUUUUGUCCGGAAAGAAAUCCUUGGCCCUAAUACGGUCGGGGGAUGACGGUACCGGAAGAAUAAGCACCGGCUAACUACGUG